rnacentral:rRNA from 1 species
AGGGUUUGAUCCUGGCUCAGAUUGAACGCUGGCGGAAUGCUUUACACAUGCAAGUCGAACGGCAGCACGGACUUCGGUCUGGUGGCGAGUGGCGAACGGGUGAGUAAUAUAUCGGAACGUAUCCAAUAAUGGGGGAUAACUAAUCGAAAGGUUGGCUAAUACCGCAUACGCCCUACGGGGGAAAGCUGGGGACCUUCGGGCCUGGCGUUAAUGGAGCGGCCGAUAUCUGAUUAGCUAGUUGGUGGGGUAAAGGCCCACCAAGGCGACGAUCAGUAGCUGGUCUGAGAGGACGACCAGCCACACUGGAACUGAGACACGGUCCAGACUCCUACGGGAGGCAGCAGUGGGGAAUUUUGGACAAUGGGCGAAAGCCUGAUCCAGCCAUUCCGCGUGAGUGAAGAAGGCCUUCGGGUUGUAAAGCUCUUUCGCAAGGGAAGAAAGAUUACCCUCUAACAUAGAGUGAUUAUGACGGUACCUUGAUAAGAAGCACCGGCUAACUACGUGCCAGCAGCCGCGGUAAUA